rnacentral:rRNA from 1 species
GACGAACGCUGGCGGCGUGCUUAACACAUGCAAGUCGAACGGAAAGGCCCUGCUUUUGUGGGGUGCUCGAGUGGCGAACGGGUGAGUAACACGUGAGUAACCUGCCCUUGACUUUGGGAUAACUUCAGGAAACUGGGGCUAAUACCGGAUAGGAGCUCCUGCUGCAUGGUGGGGGUUGGAAAGUUUCGGCGGUUGGGGAUGGACUCGCGGCUUAUCAGCUUGUUGGUGGGGUAGUGGCUUACCAAGGCUUUGACGGGUAGCCGGCCUGAGAGGGUGACCGGCCACAUUGGGACUGAGAUACGGCCCAGACUCCUACGGGAGGCAGCAGUGGGGAAUAUUGCACAAUGGGCGGAAGCCUGAUGCAGCAACGCCGCGUGCGGGAUGACGGCCUUCGGGUUGUAAACCGCUUUCGCCUGUGACGAAGCGUGAGUGACGGUAAUGGGUAAAGAAGCACCGGCUAACUACGUGCCAGCAGCCGCGGUGAUACGUAGGGUGCGAGCGUUGUCCGGAUUUAUUGGGCGUAAAGGGCUCGUAGGUGGUUGAUCGCGUCGGAAGUGUAAUCUUGGGGCUUAACCCUGAGCGUGCUUUCGAUACGGGUUGACUUGAGGAAGGUAGGGGAGAAUGGAAUUCCUGGUGGAGCGGUGGAAUGCGCAGAUAUCAGGAGGAACACCAGUGGCGAAGGCGGUUCUCUGGGCCUUUCCUGACGCUGAGGAGCGAAAGCGUGGGGAGCGAACAGGCUUAGAUACCCUGGUAGUCCACGCUGUAAACGGUGGGUACUAGGUGUGGGGUCCACUCCACGGGUUCCGUGCCGUAGCUAACGCUUUAAGUACCCCGCCUGGGGAGUACGGCCGCAAGGCUAAAACUCAAAGGAAUUGACGGGGCCCCGCACAAGCGGCGGAGCAUGCGGAUUAAUUCGAUGCAACGCGUAGAACCUUACCUGGGUUUGACAUGGAUCGGGAGUGCUCAGAGAUGGGUGUGCCUCUUUUGGGGUCGGUUCACAGGUGGUGCAUGCCUGUCGUCAGCUCGUGUCGUGAGAUGUUGGGUUAAGUCCCGCAACGAGCGCAACCCUUGUUCACUGUUGCCAGCACGUUAUGGUGGGGACUCAGUGGAGACCGCCGGGGUCAACUCGGAGGAAGGUGGGGAUGACGUCAAGUCCUCAUGCCCCUUAUGUCCAGGGCUUCACGCAUGCUACAAUGGCUGGUACAGAGAGUGGCGAGCCUGUGAGGGUGAGCGAAUCUCGGAAAGCCGGUCUCAGUUCGGAUUGGGGUCUGCAACUCGACCUCAUGAAGUCGGAGUCGCUAGUAAUCGCAGAUCAGCAACGCUGCGGUGAAUACGUUCCCGGGGCU